rnacentral:lncRNA from 1 species
GGGUUUCACUGUGUUAGCCAGGAUGGUCUCGAUCCCCUGACCUUGUGAUCCACCCAAGGCCUCGGCCUCCCAAAGUGCUGGGAUUACAGGCAUGAGCCACCGUGCCCGGUCAAUUUUUAUAUUUUUUGUAGAGACAGGGUUUCACCAUGUUGGCCAGGCUGGUGUCGAACUCCCGACCUCAGGUGAUUGUCGGCCUUGGCCUCCCAAAGUGCUGGGAUUACAGGCGUGAGCCACCGCGCCCAGCCGGUGGGCAGCCAGUUGUGUUCCGGGAGGAGGAGGACACCCUGGAAAGACAGUGGGGCCAGACACUGAACUGCCUUUGGAAGCAAGUAGGAGCAACAGCGAAGGUUUGCUGGCUCAGUGGCACCCGAGCUCUGUGAGGGCAAGACUUUGUUCGGUUGUGGGCUAUGCCCCCAACCCCUCGGACAGUGCCUGCACAGGUGGACAUUUUUGUUGGAUGAAGGAUUUUCUGUUAAAUGUGUCUGGCACACACAGAAAAACAAAGCCCAGCAGAUGCCGUUCCAUUGUUUGCUGACUUUCAUUGAUUCUAUGAGAAGUCUGCAGUCUUUUGCAGCGUUGUUUUCCUAUGUAUAAUUGUCUCCUCCCACCCCACUCACCCCAGCUGCUUUCCACAUUCUCUCUCUUUGAUUUUCAGCAGUCUGCCCAUGAUGUGCCUAAAUAGGACUUUCUUUGCAUUCAUCUUGGCUGGGGCUCACUGAACUUUCUGAAUCUGUAGAUUAAUUUUCUUUUUUCAAUAAACCUUGGAAUAUUUUCAGCAUAA